AUCAAUAUCCGCCACAGUAUGCCCAACCACAGGGAUACCCGGUUCAGUACGCACCACCGCCAUACGUGGCUGCUGUUGCACCAUCUUUUAACCAACAAGCUCCACAAGCGCCCGUUUAUCAGCCCAUGCAACAGGUUCCUGGUUAUCCGCCUCCGGUUUAUCCUCCUCCGAAUUAUCAACAAGCAUCCAACGCUCAGGCGAGUCAACAACCGAGGAACCAGGCACCUCGCCAGAAUGCUCCAAGGAGACUAUACAAG
rnacentral:lncRNA from 1 species